GAUGAACGCUGGCGGCGUGCCUAAUACAUGCAAGUCGAGCGAACAGUCGAGGAGCUUGCUCCUUCGACGUUAGCGGCGGACGGGUGAGUAACACGUAGGUAACCUACCUAUAAGACUGGGAUAACUUCGGGAAACCGGAGCUAAUACCGGAUAAUAUUUCGAUCCGCAUGGUUCGAUAGUGAAAGAUGGCUUUGCUUUCACUUAUCAAUGGACCUGCGCCGUAUUAGCUAGUUGGUAAGGUAACGGCUUACCAAGGCAACGAUAGGUAGCCGACCUGAGAGGGUGAUCGGCAACACUGGACCUGAGACACGGUCCAGACUCCUACGGGAGGCAGCAGUAGGGAAUCUUCCGCAAUGGGCGAAGGCCUGACGGAGCAACGCGGCGUGGGGGAUGAAGUUCUUCGGUUCGAAAACCUCUGUGAUUAGGGAGGAACAAACGUGUAAGUAACUGUGCACGUCUUGACGGUACCUAAUCAGAAAGCCACGGCUAACUACGUG
rnacentral:rRNA from 1 species